GGGCGGUUGGCGCAGCGGAAGCGCGUCUGACUUACAUUCAGAAGGUCAGAGGUUCGAAUCCUCUACCGCCCA
rnacentral:tRNA from 1 species